rnacentral:rRNA from 1 species
AUUGAACGCUGGCGGCAGGCCUAACACAUGCAAGUCGAGCGGAUGAAGGGAGCUUGCUCCUGGAUUCAGCGGCGGACGGGUGAGUAAUGCCUAGGAAUCUGCCUGGUAGUGGGGGAUAACGUCCGUAAACGGGCGCUAAUACCGCAUACGUCCUGAGGGUGAAAGUGGGGGAUCUUCGGACCUCACGCUAUCAGAUGAGCCUAGGUCGGAUUAGCUAGUUGGUGGGGUAAAGGCCUACCAAGGCGACGAUCCGUAACUGGUCUGAGAGGAUGAUCAGUCACACUGGAACUGAGACACGGUCCAGACUACUACGGGAGGCAGCAGUGGGGAAUAUUGGACAGUGGGCGAAAGCCUGAUCCAGCCAUGCCGCGUGUGUGAAGAAGGUCUUCGGAUUGUAAAGCACUUUAAGUUGGGAGGAAGGGCAGUAAGUUAAUACCUUGCUGUAUUGACGUUACCAACAGAAUAAGCACCGGCUAACUUCGUG